CGUGCUUCAGGUGGCUAGGUGGUCAGCACUCAUCGGGGGACUAAUCUAUGGCUACCAUCACAACAAAAUUCUCUUUGCGCGUGAGUCAUACUGGAGAGAGCAUGGACAUCUGGGUGAAUUCCCUCUGCUGGGCAAAGUGGAUGUGGAACUAGAGAAGAGAUCAAAACACACGAUGAUGAGGGGCAGCAAAGACGCACAUCACUAGAAGAAAAUACACUAACAGGAACCCCACCCAUUACUACCAGGUACCUUCACACUAACAGACAGAAGGAAGUCAAUGUAAAUGUAAACAGAGCGAUAAAAACUGAAGACGGAUGACUGAAAACUACAUGGCCUAUGAUGUUCUCUGUGAUCUGUACGAGAAAGAUAGAUUGUAUAUUGACUAUGAACUCUAGUUUGUCUAAUUAUACCGGUCAAAUUAAAUUUAACUUUAA